AUUGAACGCUGGCGGCAGGCUUAACACAUGCAAGUCGAGCGGAGAUGAGGUGCUUGCACCUUAUCUUAGCGGCGGACGGGUAAGUAAUGCUUAGGAAUCUGCCUAUUAGUGGGGGACAACAUUCCGAAAGGAAUGCUAAUACCGCAUACGCCCUACGGGGGAAAGCAGGGGAUCUUCGGAUCUUGCGCUAAUAGAUGAGCCUAAGUAGGAUUAGCGAGUUGGUGGGGUAAAGGACUACCAAGGCGACGAUCUGUAGCGGGUCUGAGAGGAUGAUCCGCCACACUGGGACUGAGACACGGCCCAGACUCCUACGGGAGGCAGCAGUGGGGAAUAUUGGACAAUGGGCGGAAGCCUGAUCCAGCCAUGCCGCGUGUGUGAAGAAGGCCUUUUGGUUGUAAAGCACUUUAGGCGAGGAGGAGGCUACCUGGAUUAAUACUCUAGGAUAGUGGACGUUACUCGCAGAAUAAGCACCGGCUAACUCUGUGCCAGCCGCCGCAGUAAUAC
rnacentral:rRNA from 1 species